GAGUGACGAACAUGUGAACCACAUUAGUAGACAUCUCAGAUCAAUUCUAAUCUUCCUCCCUAGAUUCAAAUCUCCUUCGCAGCGCCGGAAUCCGUUGCCGACGACGGCGGAGCCUGAACUACCAAAUCCAGAUACCAAACUUCUCCUACGUACGCCAUAAACUCGAAUCUUGGCUCAGGUUCCCCAGACUCAUCAUCAAUUAAAUGAAUCAGAGUAACUUCUUCAUGAACCUUAGGUCGUAAAAAGUAAAUUAAACUCUCCCUACCUGGAAUCGAAGCCCUAGGGGUUAGGGCUCUGAUUCCAAUCAUCUCCAGCUACACUACGGGCCUGAAAUUGCUUGACCCUGAGACGGUGUCUUUGGUCUAGAUACUUGCCAUGUAUCGAUGCAUGUCUGCACUUGCUCAACUACUACUGAAUUGGGCUGGAUUUGUUGUGGUUUGGUUUGAGACUAGGCAUUGGUUUCCAGCAGGACCAACUUGCUUUCCCUUUGGCUUGGUGCAGCAAGGCUUUGAUCCUAGACAUUAAGGAUGUUUCCUGCUGCAGGCUAAGGAUUUGGACUGCAGCAUCUCUCCAUGAUGCAGGCUGUAUCAAGGGCCUGUGCAGCAGGGUGAAAGUUGGUUGUCAAGGCAAGAAAUCCAAGUGUUCAAGAUAUGACCAAGUUCAAAGCAUGUUGGCAUCAAAGUGAAAAAUCAAGUUCAAAUGGUUAAACCAAGAUCAACAUGGACAUGGAGAAUGAAAUUAGAGUUAGGACUAGUCAUUUAGUGAUUAGGGAUGACCAAGGACCUAGGUUGACUUUGGUCAAAGUUGACCAAAAAGUCAACUGUUGACCAAAGUCAACAAUUGGUCAAAAUUCAAUUUUUUGUAUUUUUCUUGUAAAUGGACAAUGGAUUGAUGAUUAUGGUGAAAUUUAGGGCAUUAGGGUUUUGGGUUGACUUUGGUCAAAGUUGACCAAAAAGUCAAUUGUUGACCAAAGUCAACAAUUGGUCAAAAAUGUCAAGUUUUGUAUUUUCUUGUGUAGAAUCACGUGUAAUGGUUUAAAAUGACAUGGAAUAGAUUGAAAUGGUUUGAAAAAUA